GCUGUCUGUGAUGUUAUUCCUAAUCCUUACCUACCUUGUUUGAAUUUUGAUUAUGAAAAGUCUUAAUUUCUGAGACAUGC